ACUGUACCUAAUACUAUAGGCCUAAAUUUUGCUCGGUAACUAAAAUUUAUAGGAGGAGAAUAUAUAAAGGACUAGACAUCAUAACAAAGAUGUAGUUUCCUUUUAAAGGCAAUAGGACAGAGGAGUAAGUUGUUCCAUCCAAUUGCUAAAGAAGUCACCCAAUUCAUGGUCCACUUCUGCUUCCUAAAGGUAUUAGAGUCAGGUCCCAUCCAUGUCACGUUUCCCAAGCUACAAGCACCCCAAUCUUAACCGCAUGUAUUUUGAUUGACUUGCUAAGAAAUACCCAUCACUGAAACAUUAAUCCAGAAUUUCUCAAUCCCGGAUGUGAAGAUUAUAGACCCAUAAAAGCCACAACCAUCACUUCUUCCACUUCCACCACCACCACCACCACCACCAUAAGCAAAAGCUAAAGCUAGACAAAUUUCAGCAGAUACACACUACUAACAAUUUAUUCCCUCUAUAUACAGUCUAAAACUAAAACUAUUUACAGGAGUAGAAGCCCCCUAAACCUCAAUCAUCCGCCACAUCAAGAUUAAGAA
rnacentral:misc_RNA from 1 species